GAUGAACGCUAGCUACAGGCUUAACACAUGCAAGUCGAGGGGAAACGACAUCGAAAGCUUGCUUUUGAUGGGCGUCGACCGGCGCACGGGUGAGUAACGCGUAUCCAACCUGCCCAUCACUUGGGAAUAACCUUGCGAAAGUAAGACUAAUACCCAAUGACAUCCCACGAAGACAUCUGAAUGGGAUUAAAGAUUUAUCGGUGAUGGAUGGGGAUGCGUCUGAUUAGCUUGUUGGCGGGGUAACGGCCCACCAAGGCAACGAUCAGUAGGGGUUCUGAGAGGAAGGUCCCCCACAUUGGAACUGAGACACGGUCCAAACUCCUACGGGAGGCAGCAGUGAGGAAUAUUGGUCAAUGGGCGAGAGCCUGAACCAGCCAAGUAGCGUGCAGGAUGACGGCCCUAUGGGUUGGAAACUGCUUUUAUAAGGGAAUAAAGUGGGUCUCGUGAGACUUUUUGCAUGUACCUUAUGAAUAAGGACCGGCUAAUUCCGU
rnacentral:rRNA from 1 species